rnacentral:tRNA from 1 species
GGCGCGUUGGCAGAUUGGUUAUGUAGCGGAUUGCAAAUCCGUGCAGUUCGGUUCAAUUCCGAAACGCGCCU